UAGCGCGCAGGACCUCCGGAGCGUAGGUCAGAGGUUCCUCUCCGCCAGGACUAAUAUCUGCUGAGAGCCUUCCAGGUGCUCAGCCAAGUGCUGUGACGAAACGAAGGUGAAAUAAGUCCAGAUUCCUGAAUUGAGACUCUAAUGUUCCCAACUUUGGUGAGGUGCCCAAGCCUGGUGCUGUGUUAGAGGACAAAAUCCCACGUUCCAGUGAACGUUCAGGAGGAACGAGAGAGAGAACUAGGCGGCAGGACUAUACGUGAGCAGGACAGGACAGCACAUUGAAUGAUGUCUGCUCCAAUGAGAAGCAGGGUCCACGCACCAGAGACAACACCAAGCAGAUGACUGCUUCUUCUUCCCCUUUCUGCCCCAUAGUACUGCUCUGUCAGCUUGCUUCCCCUUAAAUCACCUGUGCCAGGAGGACCACCCUAGUAGUCAGAUGCCAUAAUCAGAGUGUGUGGCCUUCACAGUGUCAACAGCUGGACUCAAAGGCAUAAAAUGAAGGUAAAAAUAAAGCUGAUUCUAGGCAGCAGUGGCUCAGUGCCUCAGUGGGUCCCUAGUGAAUUCUUUUGCCCCAGAGUGCUGAGCUUCAAGACAGUGGUUCUCAACUUUGGCUGCACAUUAGAACCAUCUGGGAAGCUUUAAAAUAUGGUGAUGCCUGCAUUGGUUGAGCAUCCCACUCAACCAAUUGAUUUUGGCUCAGGUCAUGAUCCCAGGGUCGUGGGAUCGAGGCCUGCAUUGGGCUCCACACUGAACAUGGAGCCUGCUUAGGAUUUAUUCUCUCUCUCUCUCUCUCUCUCUCUCUCUCCCUCCCUCUCUCUCUCCCUCUCUCUCCCCCUCUGCCCCUCUCCCACACUUGCACUCGCUCUCUAAAAUAAAAAGUUAAAAAAACUCCAAUGCUUGUGCCCCACCCCAGAAGUUAUGAUUAAAUUGGUCUAGGGUGUGGCUUGGGCGUUGGGAGUUUUGAAAGCUCUCUAGGUGCUUUUAAAAGCCAAGUUGAUGGCACAAAAACAGACACACAGACCAAUGGAAUAGAAUAGAAACCCCAGAACUAGACCCACAAACGUAUGGCCAACUCAUCUUUGACAAA